CUACGGGAGGCUGCAGUGGGGAAUAUUGCACAAUGGACGAAAGUCUGAUGCAGCGACGCCGCGUGGAGGAUGACGGUCUUCGGAUUGUAAACUCCUGUUAAGUGGGAAGAAAGGCAUAUGGUUAAUAUCCAUAUGAGAUGACGGUACCACUAGAGAAAGCUCCGGCUAACUUCGUGCCAGCAGCCGCGGUAAUACGAAGGGAGCGAGCGUUAUUCGGAAUUACUGGGCGUAAAGGGCGCGUAGGCGGUUUGUUAAGUCAGUUGUUAAGGCCCAUGGCUUACCCAUGGAACAGCAAUUGAUACUGGCAGACUAAGAGGACAAGAGAGAGAAGUGGAAUUCUCGGAGUAGCGGUAAAAUGCGUAGAUCUCGAGAGGAACACCGAUGGCGAAGGCAGCUUCUUGGCUUGUACCUGACGCUGAGGCGCGAAAGCGUGGGGAGCAAACAGGAUUAGAUACCCCAGUAGUC
rnacentral:rRNA from 1 species